GGUAGGGAUGCUAUCUCUAUUGAGAGACCUUCUCGGCUUGCACCAUACGAGGAACCCAGAGCUGGUUUUCCAGAGAGACCUCCUUCCCGGCCAGGGGCACACGAGGAUCCUAGAGCUGGCCAUUCUGAGAGACCACGUUCUCGACCUGGCUUGUCUGAGAAGUAUAGGCCCGGGUUUCCUGAGAGGCCUUCCCGGCCUGGACUCUAUGAAGAGUCCAGAUCUGUCUUUACUGAGAGACCUUCCGGAUCUGGAUCAUAUGAAGAGACUCGAGCUGGAUUUUCUGAGAAAUCUCCUUCCUUAUCACAGGCAUAUCAAGAUCCCAGAGCUGUUGACUACAUGGAGAGGCCUCGAUCUCGUGGCACUGUAAAUUCCAGGACAAGGCCGAUUGAUGACAGGAAAGCUUCUCAAGGUGGCGGGGUUAGAGGAUUUGUGGGAAGCAGAGACGUGGACAGGUAUAUCUUGCUAACAUUCACCUUCUUUUAAAAAAAAAUUUCUCUUGGUCUUGCAACAUUUACUCAAAGUCCAUGCAAUUGUGUCUUAGCAUGGAUUAUAUACUUGAGAUCUAUUGACUUGGAGUUAGGAUAUGUGAUCCGGACUUGUUAUCAUAUGGCAGGUCAAGGCCGAGGUGGUGAAUUUCAGUUAUUGUGGAUUCUUUGAGCCGUUCUGCUUUUAGUCCUCUGACGUUAGAGCAAAAUAAAACUUCGGCAGCUCUCAUUAAAUCUCUCGCGCUUUGGUUGUGAGAAAUGGAGCUAGAAUUAUUGAAUACUGACAUUGAUAUCGCUUGAUUAAUUGUAAAAUUGCACUCUUUCUUUCUUUUAGUCGCAUAACCUAUUUUGCGCAUUUUUCAUAAGGACUCUAUUGUAAUGCCCGUCUUGCUGCGCCGCCCCGAUUUUGGCUUUUCCCCCUCUCUUUCUGAACCGUAACGUUUUUUUCCCUGUUCUAUAUAAUUUGUUUUCUUCAGCUGUUCUAAUUCAUUCUGCAAUAGUUUGUCUUAUUUUGCUGCUUAUACUCUUUGUAACAUAUUAGUGACGUGGAUGUAACGAUAUUGACGAAAAGAAAAAGAAGUUAUAAUCGUGUGUUCGAUUGUACCAUCAAGAUGAAUUUUGCUACUCUAACAGGCCUUUUGGACAGGUCCAGAUGAUAGGGCUGAGGUGGCAACACAGGGAAUGCUAUAUGGAUAGACAGGGCCUAUGUGGCAGUCCCCUAUUGGGGGGUUGUCUGCCACCAGCCCCUGUCGAAAGAGUUUUAUCUGGCAACACCUUCACCCUAUCACCUCGGCCUGUCCAGAAGGCCCGUCACUAUAGCACUUCUCCCAUCAAGAUACCCUUUUGAGCAUCGCAUCCAUGUAUGUAGUGGAGGUUUAGUUUCCACAAGAUAAAGUUGGUCCAUAUGGGCCGUGUUUGGUUCUUUACUAAUCUUUUCUUCUGGACGAGAUCAAUGUGGAAAAUAGUAAAAUCCACAAAAAUGACGAGUCCGCAGGGGGGAACGUACCCAAAAAUCUCUGGUUCCAUAGACCAGCGCCUUACUCGUUGAACUAUUUAAUAGUUUAUUUUCCUCUUAAGGAUAAUCUGGUCUUUAGCACGUGGCUCAUUUGUGCGACUCUUUUUUCGUAAAUUAUUGAUCUGGAUAAAGACACGUUCUUUCUUGUUCUACUUUUACAUAUUUGUUGUAUUAUAGCGAGUAUAUUAUUUUAAAUAAAGUAUCUAAGGUCCGUUUGAUUACAAAGAUGAAAUUAGGGUGGAAAGAAAAUAAAUUUUAGAGAAUUAAAUUGCCUAGAAAUUAUUUUUUUGGAGAUUGUAAAUUAUUGUGUUUGACCGAUAUAAUUUUUUACGUGAAAAAUGUUGAAAUAAAAAUAUUUUUUGGUGUUUGCUUAACUUUGUUAUACAUAAAAAUUGCCGAUUAAAGAGAUAAUUUACUGGUAUUGGGGAUAAAAUUUGUUUUCAUUGUCAAAAAAAAAAAAUCAUUUAUAUUUUGAUAUUCGUUAGACUUUAUUUUAUAUAAAAAUUGUUAAUUAAAGGGAAAUAUUUUUUUACAAUAAUUCUUAGAAUUUAUUUUUAUUGCCAAAAAAAAAAAUUGAAAAAAAAAACGCGACAGUAACCCAAAAAUUGGAAUUCUAAUUCCAAUUUAAGGAAAAGCUAGAAAUUGGCUUAUACAACAAAAAAUUGGAAAGAUGGAAUUUAGUUUCUAAUUUUUAUAAAAUUGGGGUGCAAUGAAAUAUGACCUAAAAUAGAAUUACAAUGGUCCUUUUUUUAAUCAUGCGUGUGCUUCAUUAGAUUUUAUUUUGUUUGGAGAAUAACUUUAAAACCCAAAUCUCCGAUUCCCCCGUCCCAUUAAAAAAGUACUAUUUAAUUUUUCACGUAGAAUAAGAAAAUUUAGUAAAUAUAGUCAAUAGUAAAUUUUAUUAUCAUUUUUCCUAAUAUAUUCUUAAAUUAAUGUAAUCAAUAUUAAAAGUAAUAAAAUUAUGCAUCCAAUAUUCAAGGUAGUUAAACUAUUUUUGGUAUUAGUAAUUGUUUAACGCAAGAAUCAAUAUGAUUAACAUUCUAAAGUCAUCUAAUACAAAUACAAAUACAAAUUAAUAAAUGUCAUGGAGGAUGAUUGCUUUUUAUUUUUAUUUUUAUUUUUAUUUUUAUUGUUCAACUACAAUUGAAUAAUGAAGUGAUUUAUAUUUGUGAUAACGAAGCCCACUAAAUAAGAGUAUAUUAGGAAAUUAAUAUAAUAACUACGUUCUCAAAUAAAAAAGGAACUAUAAUUUGGGAUAAACAACAAUGGAAACAGGAUUAUCGACGGAGGGAUUAAUUAAUUAAGCCCAAAAAGGAAACUGGAAAAGCAUUAAUGAUUAGGGGCAAUGCCAUCAGCCAACCCAUAAAGCCGUUCUUUAGGACUCCGGAUUCCAAAAAUAGAAUACCAAUAAAUAAACAACUUUUGAACAGAUUAUAAUCAGAAACACGCAAAAGUACCGGGCCAUAUGUCGCUUGUCACCCAAUCAGUUUGAUUUUAACUUAUAAGCACUUUCAAGAUUGUUAUUGAUCAUAAGUAGUGCUCUCAAUGAGAACCAUAUGGAAGCCCCAUGAUCACACACGUGGCAUUGGGUCAAGAGCGAAGGAGUUAUGAAAGUAAUUUCAUUAACGGCCGAGAUAGUUAUAUUGGAUUCUCCGAAGUGGUUUGUAUCCAAAGUGGGGGUACUUCUUUCUAUCAAACCCCUUAAUGUCUGAAGUCCCUAACGCCCAGAGGAGGGUCUGAUAAGCGUAUCUUUAGGAUUAAUUGAUGUGACGUUCUCAUUAAAUAUGUAUCAAGAAUGUCAGCCUAAGAGUAUAGAGUGGUUGACCUCUUGUCAAAUGUCUGUCAAUGUAAUUAAUAUGAGAUAGAGUUGAUGCGACACCAGAAUCUAACAGAUUAGACCACUUGGAUUGGAUCCAACGGUGACCACAUCGACUUGAUCAUUAUAAAUAGCUGUUUGUAUAACGUUUUGAUGGAUGGAUCUUUAGACAUAAAAAGGGUAUUGCUUGUUUCUCUCUAGAAAGAUAAACCACUCAUUGUUUUAUAUUUAGUUCUUAUCUUACAUGUUUACUUAAAACAUAUGAGACUAUCUUACAUUAUUAAUCGAAUGUGUGUCUAAGCAUAAAAUCUAUAUAUUGAAGAGUACGUCCACGUGUACAUCAUAUCGAACGACACCUUGACACAUUUUUGAAAGUCAAGAAAGAUAAUUAUAUUUUUUUAUGUGAAGCCACCUGGAUUAUUUGGAACAAAAGCAUAUAAAAGAUAAAAAUACUAUUAUGAUAAAAUUAAAUUUUGCAAUUAGCUAGCCUUUAUAAGAAAAUUAAGAAUGUUGUAAUAACAAGUUAGUAUCUUCUAUUCGUUUCAUUGCAGUUCCAACAAUAGUAAAGAUUCAAAAAUCCUUUAUUAGUAAUGUAAUAACAGUCCUAAAAAUAGUAAUGUAAUAAUGGUCUUCAAAAAUCCUUAUAGUAAUUUAAUUAUUAUAGAAAACAUGUUUCACUUCAAAUUUUACCGACACAAAAUUGAGAACGGGAGGGUCGAGUCAUAGUUUAACAGACCACGUGAAUUCGGACCACCUUAAAACUGUCUUUUCCUUCGUCUCUUCAAAUCAUUCACUGUUUUUUGCUUUGUCCUCUCCUGCAUAGCUUUCUCUAUCAUGGAAUCCCAUUCUCAGAUAAUAUUAUUAUUUCUUACAGUAAUCUUAUCACUUUCAAUUCCAAAUCCAGUAUAUGCUAAAACCAUUUGUGAGUUUCCAGCUAUAUUUAACUUUGGCGACUCGAAUUCUGAUACCGGUGGCUUGUCCGCGGCGUUCGGCCAGGCUGCGCCGCCCAAUGGAGAGUCGUACUUCCAUGGACCGGCAGGGCGGUACUGCAACGGCAGGCUGGUUAUUGAUUUUAUUGGUAAGAACUAAGAAGACAAUUUUUUUUUUCUUCUGCUUGCACAUUCAUUUAUACAAGAAGGAUAGAAUAAUUUACAGUUGAAGUUCUUGCAAUUGGUACUCUGUGCAUAUUUUGGCGAAGCUUUUAAGUAUUUCGCCAUCUUGUGUGCUUAUUACCAAAAUAAGCCAAUAACAUACUGAAAACUGUAGAAAAAAAGUCUUUUGUAUGGGCUAAUUAUGACAAUAAAUUGAGUUGGAUUUGUUCCUUCGUUUUGAUAGAUCAAAGUAGAUCACUAGAUUGACUUUUUUUUUUUUUUUUUGUGAGAACAUUGAAAUCAUAUAUCUACUUGUCAAAACUGAUGCUCCGAGAAAUUGGAGUUCAAAGUGUACCGUUUAACAUGUUGGAGGAAAAACAAUUAUAGUUGUCUUACAUAGGAAAAUGAUCAAGGCAAAAAUUGGUUUAUAUACGACUACUCAUGUGUGACAUAGAGGUUCUUUUCACGGGCGUGCAAAUUAUGGACCAAAUUUUACGUUAGGCCUUAUAACUUAUGUGUGAGCGCAACCUGCGUACAUGUUGGAUCAAACUGACCAAAAAUUGGCCCCCUAGGAGGUUCCGUUUUGCCUAACGGACGCUCAAACAAAAUCUCGAGUACCUACGGUGAGGAGAAGAAUUUGUUCUAAGAACAUCGUGUUUACACAGACCUUGAUUUGCUAAUUUCUUCUCUCCAUGACUUGAUAUUUUCCUUGGUAACUAUUUAUUUCUAGUAUGUUCUUUUUCAUUAUAUCACAUAUUAACAAAAACUAAGCCAAAUAGUUUGAUGUGGACAGUUUGUUAAUAUUUCUAUCUCAAUUAUAUUCAGUUCUUAAUUGCUGACACCAUUGACGCUGUCAUUUCAGCUGAGAGCUUGGGACUACCAUAUUUGAACGCUUUCCUCGAUGCGUUAGGCUCAAAUUUCAGCCACGGUACCAAUUUCGCGCUGCUGGUUCAACCAUUAGACCCCAAAACACGACUUUACAUCAGAGCGGUUUUAGUCCCUUUUCAUUAAACGUACAAUAUUAUCAAUUCAAUGAUUUUCAACAUAGAUCUCAGAUUCUCCGAAGUAAAGGUAGUUAUUAGCAUUUAAUUACCACAAUUUUUCAGUUCAUUAAUUUACUCAAAUGUCUACUUUCUCAAACAAUUUAGUUAAUAGACAUCAGAAUGGAAGACCAAAACUAACAUGGCAUGCAGUAGUAAUCGAAUUGUUCUUUUUGUGUCAUUAUGAAGGGGGAGUUUUCAAGGGACUAUUGCCUAAGGACGUCGAUUUUUCGCGUGCCUUGUACACAUUUGAUAUUGGCCAAAAUGAUUUAACUGCUGGUUAUUUCCUCAACAUGAGCAUUGAUCAAGUCAGAGCAUAUGUUCCUGAUGUUCUAGAUCAAUUCAAAACCAUUAUGAAGGUAAAGAUACUAUAACAUUCUGAAUUCGACUCUUGUCACCCGUAUUUAAUAUACGCGCGUUAGUAGUUUAUUAACGAUCAAGCAAAAUUUUUUGUCUUCGUUUCGUGCAGUAUAUAUAUGAUCAUGGAGGUAGGUCGUUUUGGAUACACAACACUGGACCGGUUGGUUGUCUACCGUAUAUUCUGGACCGUCUUCAAAUCACUGCCGGACAAGUUGAUAAGGCUGGAUGUGCAGCCCCUUUUAACGAGGUUGCUCAAUAUUUCAACCGUGGGUUGAAGAAGGCUGUGAUUCGUCUCCGAAAGGAUCUUCCAUUAGCAGCCUUCACUUAUGUUGAUGUCUAUUCAGUGAGGUACAAGCUCAUCAGUCAAGCAAAGAAGUAUGGUGAGUAUUUCCUUACAGGGGUAAAAAUCUUGUUAGUCCCUCAACUUAUAUAGUUGUUUGCUUGGUUACUGUAUUUUUUUUCCUUCUAAAUUUAGUCACUGAACAUUCAUUUCGAUUUUAGUUUAGUCAUUCUGCAUGCUAGAUUGACAAAAAAGGCAUCGACAAUGGCAAUGGCAAUAUUGACACAUUGGCAUUUCUGUUAAUUUAACUGGCUUGAAUAAAAUAAAACAAAAAUAAAAAUCUGGUGACCAAUUCGUCAGUCGUUUUAAAAGUAAAAAUUGUUGGCGAAAUCAAAACAACCAUAUAAGUUAUGUGACUAACAUGUUUAUACCCGCUCCUUCACCAUUGACAAAAUCAAGAUUUAAACUUCACGGUAAAGUGGCUAUGUAACACCGAAAAAUGUUCAUGGACGAAGAAAAAUAAGUUAAAAUUUUGUCUAUUAUUCUAUUCAAUACUGCAUACUGACCACGUUGUAAAUAUUUACAGGGUUCGUCCACCCUCUACGAGCUUGUUGUGGGCAUGGAGGGAGAUACAACUACAACGUACAUUAUGGUUGUGGAAGCAAAAUUGAAGUGAAUGGGAAAGAAAUAAUGGUGGGAAAAUCAUGCGAGGAUCCAUCAGUUAUGAUAAACUGGGAUGGAGUACACUAUACUGAGGCUGCAAACAAAUGGGUUUUUGAUCAAAUUGUGAAUGGCUCAUUUUCAGAUCCACCAAUUCCCUUGAAAAUGGCUUGCCAUAGGCAAUACUAAGGUAAUGCAAAUUCUUGUUUUUGAGUCAACGCACACUAAAGGAAAAAUGAUAUUUUACAAUAAAUAUUUCAAUGAUCAAAUCAAUUUGGCCGUUAAAAAUUAUUUUUAACAACCAAAUGAUAAGUUUGAUCGUAGAAAAUAGAUGAUGAACAGUCGAAUUUUGAAUUAGUUGGAAAUAUAUUAUAACGACCAAAAUUUUAGUCGUUAAUUCUAUAUAUUCUGUGACUAAAUUAAUAUUGGUCGUUGAGUGGACACCUAAUCAAGAAAUCCCACCAAAAUAUAUAUUGAUAUUCAAUGACAACGUAAUUGUUUGUUAGAAACACAAAUAAUAUGACAUAUAUACAACGGCCAUAGUUUCUGGUCGUUAACAUAGAACAAUAACAACUAAUUGAAUCCCACUUCUGAAAGUAGAGAAAAAUUCAACAUUCAAUGACCAAUACUACGUAGUCAUCAAAGAUGAUAGUCAAUGACUAUAUAUCUGUAGUUGUUGAAGUUGACAACAACUUGGUUACCAGCUCUAAUUUGGCGUCAAAAUAAUUUUCAACAUUUAAAAACUAUACUAUUGGUUGUUGAGAAUGAUUAUAUAGCAAAAACGUGUUUUAAUUGUUUAAAAUUUAAUCUAGGGUAAUUAUCUGUAAGCAUAAUAUUCAUUGUUAAAAGUAUUUAAAAAAAAUUCAAAUCGAGUAUGUCCUUUAAUAAUUGUGUUUUGUUAGAGAAGUUAUUUCAAAAUAACGUUAACAUAUUCCUAAGCAACAUUAUUUUAUUUUUAUCGUAAACAUGUUGACUUUACAUUGUAUAUCACUAUGGCAAAAGAAUUUGCCUUGGCUUGAACGAUGCAAAAAAUAAAAAUAAAAUCAUACUAACAAUAAAAUCACCUCAUUGGUUUGGUCAGAUGAGAUGCGAAAUGAGCAAGUAUUUUUGCACUGUUUUAAUGUCGGGUGGAACAGGGUGAUUUUGGGUGCUCCAUCUCAUUUAAAUAAAAAAAAUAAAUGAGGCUGGUGCCUCGAACUCACUUAAUUCCAAACUUAACUGGGUUACAGAGAAAAUGUGAAAGAAAAUCCUUUUGGCAUGACAGCACACAGAAUGUACGAUCUGCACCGAAUCCACCCUAUUGUCAAUAAAAGUGUUGACACAUAAAAAUUCAGCCCAAAUCGAACAGCCCAGAGAAUAAAACCCAAUGGGAGGAUCCCCAAAUCAGAUAGCCCAAAGAACGAAAUUCAAUUGAACGAAUCAAGGUGAAUGCCCAAAUAAGGGGCCCAAUAGUGCGGUAACGCCAUCGUCCAAGUUUGCAAGUCGCUCAGAGUCUGAACGAAUAGAGUGGCAUACGGUCGUCCAAAGUCUCGCCCAAAUGUUCAAAUCGCCCAAGGUAUCAACAAACAUAACGCAUUAUGAUGCAGGUAUUGAGGCAGUUGCUAAAGUAACUUUAUCACGUUCCACGACUCGAGGGGUUCAAUCCAAAGCGGUUGAACGAUGCAAGAUAAUGGCAGCAGUUAAAAGGACAGUUGCAUGACAAAAUGGCCACUACAAAGAAAGUGGGUAGUUAUAGGGCGAUCAAGCAGUUUUUUAGAGCAGUUAAUCACAAAGCGAUCGCCUAUGAAGUAUAAAAGAGAGAAAGAACUGUAGGGGGAGGUUUCUAAUUUUGUCAGCUGCCCUUGAUUUCACACUUAGGUUUUACUUUUGUUGCAAUCCAUAUUGAAUAAAUACAUAUACUAAAACAGGAUGAAUGCAGGCUUUGAUGUCAUAAUUUUGCGAAGUUAACAUUGGGUGAGGGGAGUUGUAGUUGUAUAUGUAUAUAACAUUAAAUCUCAUCUUUUUACAUUGGUAAUGGCUAUGGAAUACCCUGGUCUGUGUUGGCAUGUAGUAUCAGACGAGAAUUGAAAAUUUUGAUAUUUGACAUCACUUCUUUAUUUUGACCUCUAAUUAUUAAUUAAAAAUUUUUAAUUGUCGCAUAGGUGCUUUAACUAAAGGUUACACUGCAAAGACAAAUCAUUUUGGAAUGAGAUCAACUUACUAAAAGCAGAAUAAGAUCAUCCAAUCAUGGACAUAGGUUUUAAUAUAUUUUUGUUGUAAUUGUGGUCUAGUUUCUUCUGCUUGUUUGUGUCUUCUUGCAACUUUAUCCAUGUAAGUCCAUAUAAAUCUUGUUCCUGGAUACUGCAACUUUACAAAAAAAUAUGCUCAUCAAAUAUGUUUUUAACUAAUGAUAACAGUAGCAUGUUCAGUUUGGACACGCCUUAUGACUAUUGAGCUGCAGUGUUAAGUGUGAAUGUUUUGUGCGCUUGUUUUGAAGCAAGCUGCACCUGUUUCUAAAAUAAACAAUAAAAUUAGGACAAAAUGCAGAAAAAAAUGGAAAUUAUUAGACUAACUGGGAAGUAAUGUUUCAGGCCUGAGACAGAAGAGGAAAACAGUUUGAAAGAAGAAAUUGAGCACCUGAAAAAGGAAUUUCUGGAAAAAUCUGGUGAAGAGCAAAGCUGUUUACAGGAUCUUAUUCUUAAAAGAGAGAAGGAUUUGGAACUGCUGAGGCGGGAAUUGGAUGACAAGGUUCGUUAUAGCCAGAAAGUGUUUGAAAGGCCCGGUUCUGGAGCUGGUAGGGAUGCUAUCUCUAUUGAGAGACCUUCUCGGCUUGCACCAUACGAGGAACCCAGAGCUGGUUUUCCAGAGAGACCUCCUUCCCGGCCAGGGGCACACGAGGAUCCUAGAGCUGGCCAUUCUGAGAGACCACGUUCUCGACCUGGCUUGUCUGAGAAGUAUAGGCCCGGGUUUCCUGAGAGGCCUUCCCGGCCUGGACUCUAUGAAGAGUCCAGAUCUGUCUUUCCUGAGAGACCUUCUCGAUCUGGAUCAUAUGAAGAGACUCGAGCUGGAUUUUCUGAGAAAUC
rnacentral:lncRNA from 1 species